rnacentral:rRNA from 1 species
ACGAACGCUGGCGGCGUGCUUAACACAUGCAAGUCGAGCGGUAAGGCCCUUUCGGGGGUACACGAGCGGCGAACGGGUGAGUAACACGUGGGUGACCUGCCCUCAGCUCUGGGAUAAGCCUGGGAAACUGGGUCUAAUACUGGAUAUGACUCCACGGUGCAUGUCGUGGGGUGGAAAGCCUUGUGCGGCUGAGGAUGGGCCCGCGGCCUAUCAGCUUGUGGUGGGGGAUGCUACCAAGGCGACGACGGGUAGCCGGCCUGAGAGGGCGACCGGCCACACUGGGACUGAGACACGGCCCAGACUCCUACGGGAGGCAGCAGUGGGGAAUCUUGCGCAAUGGGCGAAAGCCUGACGCAGCGACGCCGCGU